AGCCUGGAUGAUACAGUGAGACCUUGUCUCAAUAAAGAAACACGUUUGACCUCCAAAGCUAAGCAGGGUUGGGCCUCCUUAGUACUUGGAUGGGAGACCGCCUGGGAAUACCUAUAGGUGCUACAGGUUU
rnacentral:rRNA from 1 species